CUGUUCCUUGCACCUGGAGGGCACACCAAGGCCCAUUUUCAGCAACUGUGAGUCCCUGAUGGUGGAGGAUUGGCUGACCUGACUCGGCUGGCCAGCCCUUCCCAGGUGUGCCUGGGUUGAGGUCUCUGUAAGUGGGUGUAAAAGUGCCUGCAGCUGUAUUCUGCGCCAUACUCUGUUGGAUGUGUGGAUCUGGACUGGCAAGAGAGCCUUGUGGGUUGCUCUUUGUGAUCAGGUCUUUUCUAGACCAGGUAAGGAAGAGGUGUGUCACCUGUACCUGCUGUUGGAAGUCUCCCCAGGUUCUUCUUCCCAUAUACAGAAGAUCCUAAAAAGUACUGAGAAGCAAGAGUCAGAGAAGAGAAUAAAAAUGUGGCAAGAGGUGGUGGAAGUGUUGGAAACAAAUGCAAAAUCCAAGAAAUGUAAUCCUGUAGAAGCAGGGCUCUGCAAAUUUAAAGCACAGAAACUGGAUUCUGGAAUUCUUUAUAGUGGGUGCAUUUUCCCUAAGAAACUGCCAGAGAAGCCACCCACUGUGCCUAUUGGCUUUGAUUUUGAAAUGGAGAAAAGAAUCAAACAGCGAGAAAAAGCAGAGAGGGUAUUGGAGGAUAAACACUUUAAUGCGAAGCCUUGCCCUUAUCCUAUCCUGUUAGGUGUUGUGGGUUUUCCCAAUAAGAAAGAAAUUCCACUUACCAUCCCCAGGACACCUGCCUUUGUUCAGAAGAAGAGAACCCCAAAACCCACCCAAGAGGGUGAGGAUGAGGAGCAGCCAAAGGUGAUCAGAGCUCAACAAUUGCCCCAUUAUGGAGUACCUUUUAAGCCCAAAAUCCCUGUGAGGAGAACUGUGGAAAUACGCCCUUUCUCUUUUGAUUCAAAAAGCCACUUACAGAAAGAGAAGAAAAUAAAACAGCUGCAGAAAGGGGAGGUGCCCAAGUUCUAGGUGGUUCCUUUGCCUCAUUUUACCACCAUUAACCUGCAAGAGAAGAAGAUGAAGAACACAACUCAGGUUGAACCUUCUGCUUGGAGCCUGGCAGAAGAGGUGCCUGAAGGCACAGACUUGGGUUCUCCCUGUGCCCCAGUGACAAAGAAGGCUCCUCCUGGUGUGAUGGAAACAGCAGCUCUGGUUCCUGGAUGGUGUCUGCAGCCAAGACUAGCGGUGGAGUUGACUGGAGACCUUGGGUGGUACCCACAGAGUCAAGGGCUGCUCACAUACAGUAAUUUGUGUUGCUUCCAGCCUCCUCCUCUUUUAUAAGUCAGAAUAUAUAGUGAUUUAAUUUGUAAUUUAUUCACUUAAAGUGUAAUUUUUACUGCUUUUAUCCUUCACUUUUUAUAUUUAAAUUAAAAAAUAAAGAUACUUGAUUCAA